CCAGGCCACGUACAGUGAGGACCGGGAAGAUGUUUGCUUCCGAGCCGCAAGCUGAAGGGGACAUGCUGUUCUACGCCUUACCCACCACACUCGUGCUCAAGAACUUGUGUUCCAGUAACCUUGUCCUGUACCUAGGGCAGAAGGUUUUCUUAUCGAAGGACAACUUUGAGACCAGCCUCCCACCACUCGUCAUUCCCAAG